rnacentral:rRNA from 1 species
GACGAAUGCUGGCUGCGUGCUUAACACAUGCAAGUCGAACGGUGAACAGGGGCUUGCCCCUGGGAUCAGUGGCGAACGGGUGAGUAACACGUGGGCAACCUGCCCCUCACUCUGGGAUAACUCCGGGAAACCGGGGCUAAUACCGGAUACGACCAGGCGCGACAUCGGGUCUGGUGGAAAGAACUUCGGUGAGGGAUGGGGCCCGCGGCCUAUCAGCUAGUUGGUGAGGUAACGGCUCACCAAGGCGACGACGGGUAGCCGGCCUGAGAGGGCGACCGGCCACACUGGGACUGAGACACGGCCCAGACUCCUACGGGAGGCAGCAGUGGGGAAUAUUGCGCAAUGGGCGAAAGCCUGACGCAGCGACGCAGCGUGAGGGACGACGGCCUUCGGGUUGGUAAACCUCUUUCAGCGGGGACGGAAGCGAAAGUGACGGUACCCGCAGAAGAAGCACCGGCUAACUACGUGCCAGCAGCCGCGGUAAU